GUUGGCGCCGCAGGUGGAGGAUUAACCAAGUGAGCCACGGCGCUGGCCCCUUAUGUUUCAUCUUAAUAUUAGGAACUACCAGUCUUGGGGUGACCAAGAUCUUCCCAUGUUUCCACAUUUCCUGUUUUCAAUAUUGGCCCUGAUGGUCUCACUCGGCAGGUGGCAAUGUCUCUUCAUUCUCUGAGUGAUGUCAUCUAAUUUUUCUUCCAUUGACACACUAAUAUGAACUAAAUUAAUGCUACUCAAAAUAAGUAAUGUAAGUAUUUAAGCAACAACUUGGGAAUAAUACAAUUGAGUGUGGCAGUUUGGAGCAGUAAGGUCCUUCACAGGUCUAGGUAUGACUUUCAUUUGUGGAUAAGAUAGUAUGUAAUGAUUUAAGACCACAUUAAAGGGUUUAGAGUCAGCAGUAGAGACCAGAAAGAAAACAGUGGGCUAAGCAGAAAAGGAAGAUGAUGAUGGAAAUCAUUCAGCAGGUUCAAGGAUUUGUCCUUCAUACCUGUAAGGCACAUCCUGGUAAUUCCCAGAAGGAACUGGAAGAAACCUUUUCAAAAUCAAAGCUCUUAUAAUGACCUAAAAAGCAUUGCAUUAAUUUCUUGUUGAUGCUGUACAAAUUUAAGCAUACCUAAGGGCUGUUGUCUUGCUAAGUGACAUAUAUACGGCCCCAGACAAAUUUUUAGAAAGAGAAAUAAUUUGGAGCCAUAUAAAUGGAUAUACUGUCAGUAAGAAGGUAUUUGGGUGGGAAAUGUGGGAAGGGGGAUAUUUUAAACAGAAGUAUUCACAACACCACAUUGCAUUGUUUU
rnacentral:lncRNA from 1 species